rnacentral:rRNA from 1 species
GACGAACGCUGGCGGCGUGCUUAACACAUGCAAGUCGAACGAUGAAGCCAGCUUGCUGGUGGAUUAGUGGCGAACGGGUGAGUAACACGUGGGUGAUCUGCCCCAAACUUUGGGAUAAGCCUGGGAAACUGGGUCUAAUACCGAAUAUGACCGAUACUCGCAUGGGUGUUGGUGGAAAGCUCCGGCGGUUUGGGAUGGGCCCGCGGCCUAUCAGCUUGUUGGUGGGGUAAUGGCCUACCAAGGCGACGACGGGUAGCCGGCCUGAGAGGGCGACCGGCCACACUGGGACUGAGACACGGCCCAGACUCCUAUGGGAGGCAGCAGUGGGGAAUAUUGCACAAUGGGCGCAAGCCUGAUGCAGCGACGCCGCGUGAGGGAUGACGGCCUUCGGGUUGUAAACCUCUUUCACCAGGGACGAAGCGAAAGUGACGGUACCUGGAGAAGAAGCACCGGCCAACUACGUG